rnacentral:tRNA from 1 species
GGGGAUGGAGCACCGCUGGUGUGGUGUGCGGUCUUCAAAACCGUUGUGGGCCAGGCCGAUCCUGUCCCGGGUGGGUUCGAUUCCCACGCAUCCCCG